CUAUGGGGGCAAAAGCUAAAAGGGGUAAUAGAGAUAGCAAUAAGGGAGCCAAAGCUGUGAGGAAAGUCCUUGGCAGAGAGAUGAGAAAGAACUAGAUUGGGGAGGACGCACAAAGAAACAGAGCGAAAGGGAAACUGAGAAGCUGUGCAGUCGACGGGUGCCCACCUGGACUGGAUUUAAGUCAGAAGAGAAGGAAGAUGUGAGUAUUCAUCAAACGUCUCUGCGAAGCCUGUAACCCCACACCGGCUCUUCGAAGAAGCAUUAUCUCUGUUUUACGGAUGAGAAAACCGAGGACUUCCUCCUCCGGGCGAGGCGGGGGAAGGACGCCGCCGAGCGCCUGGAGUUGUGCGCGUGUGCGUGUGCGAGUGUGAAGUGCAGCGCUGGAGUGCAACAUGCUGUAAUGGGAGGAAACCCAGCGGCGUCGGAGCGCCCUGGACCGCCGCGG
rnacentral:sRNA from 1 species